UCCGAGUUGACCCCGGCAGUCUCCUAUGAGUUCCCACCAUUACGUGCUGGCAACAUAGAACGAGGGUUGCGCUCGUUGCGGGACUUAACCCAACAUCUCACGACACGAGCUGACGACAACCAUGCACCACCUGUAUACCGACCUUGCGGGGAGAACAUUUCUGAACUUUUCCGGUAUAUGUCAAGCCUUGGUAAGGUUCUUCGCGUUGCAUCGAAUUAAUCCGCAUGCUCCGCCGCUUGUGCGGGCCCCCGUCAAUUCCUUUGAGUUUUAGCCUUGCGGCCGUACUCCCCAGGCGGGGAACUUAAUGCGUUAGCUGCGACACAGAAACCGUGGAAUGGUCCCUACAUCUAGUUCCCAACGUUUACGGCAUGGACUAC
rnacentral:misc_RNA from 1 species